rnacentral:rRNA from 1 species
AACGUAGGAGGCGAACGUUAUCCGGAUUUACUGGGCGUAAAGCGCGUGUAGGUGGUUCGUUAAGUAGGGCGUGAAAGCUCCUGGCUCAACUGGGAGAGGUCGUUCUAAACUAACGGACUCGAGGAUGGUAGAGGGAAGUGGAAUUCCGGGUGUAGCGGUGGAAUGCGCAGAUAUCCGGAGGAACACCAGUGGCGAAAGCGGCUUCCUGGACCAAACCUGACACUAAGACGCGAAAGCUAGGGUAGCAAACGGG